rnacentral:rRNA from 1 species
AACGAACGCUGGCGGCGUGCCUAACACAUGCAAGUCGAGCGAGAAAAGGGGGAGCAAUCCCCUGAGUACAGCGGCGCACGGGUGAGUAACACGUAGGUGAUCUCCCCUCGAGCCCGGAACUAACCUACCGAAAGGUAGGGCUAAUACCGGAUAUGACCACGGGAGUUUCGGCUCCUGCGGUGAAAGAUGGCCUCUACCUGUAAGCUAUCACUCAAGGAUGAGCCUGCGNGCCAUUAGCUAGUUGGUGAGGUAACGGCUCACCAAGGCGAUGAUGGCUAGCUGGUCUGAGAGGAUGGCCAGCCACACUGGGACU